GUGCUUGAUUCGGCAGCACAUACACUAAAAUUGGACUGAUACAGAAAAGAUUAGCAGGGCCCCUGCACAAGGAUGACACACAAAUUCGUGAAGCACCCCAUAUUUAA
ensembl:snRNA U6 U6 spliceosomal RNA